AAUAAAAAAUAAAAAUAAAAAUAAACACCUACAUGCAUCUGUUUUUUGUCAACUGAAUAUUGAGGCCGUUACCAUUACUUAACGAUAGAUAAUGGCAGUUAACAUUACAUAACAUGAUAACAGCCGUUACCAAUGCACCUCAGCAUCUGCUUUUAAAUAACUGGGUAAAGGGUAAUAACCCCUUGAAAAACCCAUAAAUAACUGUAAUGGCUGUCAUUUAAACCAUGCUUCUUACCCUCACUUCCUCCCAAACAAUUGGAAGUUAAAUAUUUCACUUCCCUUGCCUGCUCCUCUCCUUCCUUUAAUGAAUUGUCCCAUCCCUUCCUCUCACCAAUAGAGUGUAAAGGACUAUAGCAUCCUCUCUAACCCCAAAUCCUAUCCAUUUAUUGCUAAGUGUUAAAUGUAUCUUUAUAGAUCCGAUUCUCCUCAAAAUCUCUAAAUAAGACAAUUCCAAAUGGCUCAAGCCACCUCAUUGUGCAAAAACAUACAAGAAUGAUAAUAGAUGUGUUUACAACAAAAACAUUAUAAUUAGGAUAUUGCUUCAGUAUGGAAACAUUUAUGGGAUUUUCCUUUAGAGAUUGAUUCCCUUUGGUACAAGUAUGGCUUACAACAGAAUGGUGUAGAUUAGAAGCAAUGGCAGGAGUUUAUGUCACCCAUCGAAAUUUAUAUGUGAGGUACCCUCUUCUUUCUCCUUUAAUGAAAUAUAAAGGUGGGAUAGGGCCUGUGUUUGUUUCUGGGAAAAUGAUGGAACAGACAGGAGUCAGGACAAUUUCUCUCAUAUAUUUUCCAUCUUGUCCACUUUGCAUGAUCCCCUCUUUCAGUUCAAUUACUGGUUUAUUUAAUUGCCAUAUUUAUUCUGCUUUAGAGUUGAACAAUUUAACUAGUGAACAGUAAACAUUGAGAUUGGAGGUUCAUACAUCUGACAUAAAACAAUUCAUCUAUCAUUUCAUUGUAAUGUGAAUUUAACUCAGAAGUUUGUUGCUCCAAUCUUCUCAUAACCCCAAUGGCAUUAUGUUCAAUACAUAACGGACAUCUAAAAUGGACAUGGAUAUUUAUGAUUUCCAUAUAGAGGAGAAAUUACGAAAAAAUCAAAUGUUUCAAUGCCAGAGUGGACCUGUACCAUACACUUGCAGCCAAGUCCAAGUAGCAUCGGCUAUAAAAUUGCAUUGUUAGAAGAAAAUGAAGUUUAAAAUCUUAACUGGAAAGAACAUGUAAGAUGCGGAUUACAAGACAACAAAAGGAAAAAAUAUAUAUUUCUGGCAGGGGAUAAUUAUAUCCAAAAGAUUAAACUACACAACCACUGGGUUAAUAAGAUGUCACAUAAUGCAACUUGGAAAAGGAUGAAAGAAAAUAAUUCAGAAAAAGAUACCUAGACUCAGGAACAACUUCAGGU
rnacentral:misc_RNA from 1 species